CUGCAUUGCGUUACAUUGCAAACGUGCGGGAAAAUUGAUUGAAUUGCCGGUGUGGGUCUGACUAUCUGGACGCAGAGUAAGCAACCACAAUGACCGAAACAGUGGCAGAGCUACUGAGGGAGGCCGCUGCUGCUUUAGAACAAGUUUCUUCUUCCAACGCACCUGUGGCAACGCUGAAUGCUCCUGAGCGCCGCAACAAUGCUCCAGCUGAGGUUUUGAGGUUGUUUGGUCCUUACCUUGCACGAGGUGUACGACGGAAGUCAACCUCACUAGCCACCAUGACCAAAAAAUGGAAAAAGACCACAUACACUCACGCUUUCUUCUGCCUGGCUAAAAGAAAGGACAGUGAUAUCCCAACCGCAGCAGCAAAAAGAACGCUUGAAAGGGCAGGUUUAGGGGAAAGGAAAAUCACAUUCCCAGGUAUGCCUACAAGUAUGUAUUGAAUAAAAUCUGACUGAAAAAAGGGGUUUUAUUUACCCAAAAGAGGUUAGGGUUAGCAGAACCCAACGCAAGAAAUACAAACUUAAUAUAAAGUGAGUUUACUGAACAAACUAAUGAUGUAACUGCCCAACAAAAGACAAAACAGACAUACUGAACUGGACACAAAAGGACAUAAAACAAAACCCAUGUGUAUUGCUUUCUGUCUGUAAUGUGCCAUGUGCUUGAAACAAAGUAAACUAAAUUAAGACAUAAUUAACUAAAAGUAGAAAGAAAUUAAAGUAUAAGUGCAGGGGGUUAUUGACAUUUAGACCAGUUGUGAGACCAUCAGUCAGUAAGACCAAUGCCUUACCUGUGAUACUUUAAAUGUCAAAAAUUGGUCAGCUAUCUAAUUUUAGGACACCGUGAUGUUGUAAUAAAGUUAAAUGUUUACAUUUUACCCCUAAACUUGUUACAAUACCUUUUUUUUUUUCUCAGAUAAAUACUGUGGUGCAUCUGACUUUUCUGAUCACCUAGAGUUGAAGUUUCCACAACGGAAGUACUGUGGUGGGUUUCAACUCCUGCGGAGCCGGGGCUCUACAAGGUCCAAGGUCUUGGAAAUCAGUCCUUGCCCACAGAAUAGGUGUACUCCAGAGGGUCUGUGUAGCAAAGAACUUGGAGUAGGGGCAGCUGUGAUUUACAUAAGGCCACUCCAAAAAGAUAUUGACAAUGUAGUAUUUGAUUCUCUGGAGUAUGAAAUCCCUGGCAAAGAAAUCCCCAGCCAAUAACCCUCACAACUGAAAUAUGUCUGUACAAAGUCCACUAAGCUCUAAUGUGAGGAAAGAUGUUUCAUUAUGUGAUGCAUAUUUACUUGUUACUAUUGUCUCAUUUAUGCCAGGAUCCUCCCAGUUUGACCCUCACUCCUCAAACAACUGGACCACUGGUGGAAUGUGUCUACUGUGCAGAGAUAUUUAGCUUCUCUGAGAUUCAAGGCCACAAUGACUGUUGUGAAAGGAAAAAUAACUCAGAUUCAACUGGUGAAGAAACCCUUGAGAAUACCCAGGCAGGAACCUCAGCUGCUGCUAGCUCAUCAAGCAACCAAAAUCCGCUUGAAGAAAAUCAAAGUAGUAGCUCUGAAGAAUGGACAACAGAGCCUGAUUUUUACAAGGCAGCCAACAUGUUUUGCCAUCACUUGCUCAGCAAUGCUGAACUCAAGCCAGGGUUGGUUGCCAGGCUGGACCUCGGAUCCACCGAGGAAGAUCGUGAAAGGGAGAUUCUGACUUUCUACAAAAAAAACGGGAAUUGACUGGGCAAGCCCAUUUUCUGUUAUACUGACUGGUGAUGCAGCUAUUGGAGAUGGUGUAAAACGGCAUUUCCUGUCUAUAGUAAUGGAAAAAAUCCAGUUUGGUUUCAACCUUGACUUUGAGAACACUGGCAGAACUCUUCUGUUCAAUGGGUCAGGCGAUCACAAGGUCCCAUCCACUUCCAAAGCCCUGAUUGAUGGAGACCUUUUCCGAGUAGCUGGACGUGUCAUAGGACAUUCUUUUAUUCAUGGAGGCCCUCGAUUGGCUGGACUGAGUCCAGCAAUGUUGCAGCUAAUUGUUGGAAGUAAUCAGGAGUUUGCUGCACUUGAGCUUGCUGACUGCCCUGAUACAGAUGUCCUUGAUGUGGUGUCUUGAUAGUCAGAGAGAACUGACCCCACAGGAACGAUGUGAGGUGAACAACUUGGCCUUUGGCUGGGAUCUUCCUCCCAUCAACGAUAACAACAGGAGGUGGUUGGCAGAGAAAAUUCUACAGCAUGCGGUCAUUGACCGGAGAAGAGCACAAAUGAAGCAGCUCCGUAAGGGGCUGAAAGAGAGCGUUGUUCUCACUAUGAUUAAAGAGCGUCCAGCUCUAGCCGAGGUACUUUUCCCAAAAUCAGCAGAACAAGUGAUGGACUCACAGACCAUCUUGAAAAGGAUCAUCUGGCCAAUGCCAGAUAGUGAGGAUGAGGACGACCACAGCAACGUGGAGGAGACAUGCUUGGUGACAGGCUUUUUGAGAGACUACAUUAACACGUUAAAACAGAUCCGAUUCAGAACACUCUUCAUAUCCUAGAGCUAUUGCUGAUUAUUCACAUCGAGUCCAUAUUUAUGGAAACAUGUUGGUGAGAAAUAACAUUUUGUGGACAAUGUUUUAUUUUACUGUAGAAAGUCCAAUUUUUUAAAAGCACUCUACAGUGAAGCAGUGACUAAUGUUUGGGUAAACUUCAAAAAGGUAUGACUGUCUUUGUAGGGUCUUCUCAGGAACUACAACAACUCCUGAAGUUCUGGACAGGUUGGAGUAUACCCCCCCCCCAGCACCUUUAUGUUGAAGUAUCUCCAGAAAUUACUCUGCCAGUCGCUUCAACCUGCCUCACAACGCCGAAACUCCCACUGAAGUGCCAAAGUUACCAGGCAUUGAAAGAAAACCUGGAAGCAUCUGUGAGAUCUAGAGUUUGGGUUUGGAAUGAUCUGAGAUCUGCUUUAAAGCAGACGUAGGGAGUAGGA